rnacentral:rRNA from 1 species
AGAGUUUGAUCCUGGCUCAGCCGACCGCUGGAGGCGUGCUUCACGCAUGCCAGUCGAGGGAGAACCAUUUCGAAGGGCGUUCGAGAUGGGGAAACCGCCGACGGGUGCGUAACACAUGAGAAACCUGCCCUGAAGACCGGGAUAGCCCAGGGAAACCUGGGUUGAUACCGGAUACCUUCACGGGACCGCAUGGUCCGGUGAAGAAAUGGAUUCCGCUUCAGGAUGGUCUCGCGGCCUAUCAGCUUGUUGGUGAGGUAACGGCUCACCAAGGCUCCGACGGGUAGCUGGUCUGAGAGGACGAUCAGCCACACUGGGACUGAGACACGGCCCAGACUCCUACGGGAGGCAGCAGCAGGGAAUAUUGCACAAUGGGCGCAAGCCUGAUGCAGCAACGCCGCGUGCGGGAUGAAGGCCUUCGGGUUGUAAACCGCUUUCAGUAGGGAAGAAAAUGACGGUACCUACAGAAGAAGCCCCGGCCAACUACGUGCCAGCAGCCGCGGUAACACGUGGGGGGCAAGCGUUGUCCGGAUUUAUUGGGCGUAAAGGGCCCGUAGGCGGCUUGACAAGUCGGGCGUGAAAACCCGGGGCUUAACCCCGGGACGCCGUUCGAAACUGUCAUGGCUAGUUUCCGGUAGAGGUGAGUGGAAUUCUCGGUGUAGCGGUGAAAUGCGCAGAUAUCGAGAGGAACACCAGUAGCGAAGGCGGCUCACUGGGCCGGUAAAGACGCUGAGGAGCGAAAGCGUGGGGAGCAAACAGGAUUAGAUACCCUGGUAGUCCACGCUGUAAACGUUGAACACUAGGUGUGGUGGACAGAUCCAUGUCUGCCGUGCCGAAGCUAACGCAUUAAGUGUUCCGCCUGGGGAGUACGGCCGCAAGGCUAAAACUCAAAGGAAUUGACGGGCCCCGCACAAGCGGCGGAGCAUGCGGCUUAAUUCGAUGCAACCCGAAGAACCUACCUGGACUUGACAUCAUGGUCUAUCUGUGGAAACACACCCUUCCCUUCGGGGACUCCAGUAGAGGUGCUGCAUGGCUGUCGUCAGCUCGUGCCGUGAGGUGUUGGGUUAAGUCCCGCAAUGAGCGCAACCCCUGCCCCUAGUUACCAGCGGAUUAUGCCGGGGACUUUGGGGGGACGGCCGGCGCUAAGCCGGAGGAAGGUGGGGAUGACGUCAAGUCAGCAUGGCCUUUAUGUCCAGGGCUACACACGUGCUACAAUGGGCGGUACAGAGGGUUGCGAACCCGCGAGGGGGAGCCAAUCCCUUAAAGCCGUCCCCAGUUCGGAUUGCAGUCUGCAACUCGACUGCAUGAAGUUGGAAUCGCUAGUAAUCGCGUAUCAGAACGACGCGGUGAAUACGUUCCCGGGCCUUGUACACACCGCCCGUCACAUCACGAAAGUCGGUCGUCCCAGAAGCCGGUGUGCCAACCCUUCGGGGAGGCAACUGUCGAAGGUGUGAUCGGCAAUUGGGGUGAAGUCGUAACAAGGUA